rnacentral:rRNA from 1 species
UACGUAGGGUGCAAGCGUUAAUCGGAAUUACUGGGCGUAAAGCGUGCGCAGGCGGUUUUGUAAGUCUGACGUGAAAGCCCCGGGCUUAACCUGGGAAUUGCGUUGGAGACUGCAAGGCUUGAAUCUGGCAGAGGGGGGUAGAAUUCCACGUGUAGCAGUGAAAUGCGUAGAGAUGCGGAGGAACACCGAUGGCGAAGGCAGCCCCCUGGGCUAACACUGACGCUCAGGCACGAAAGCGUGGGGAGCAAACAGG